UGCAGCAAACUCAAAUGAGCUCAUUAGGAGAUGUAUUGAAUUUACACAUUAUUUCCAGUAGUUAAGCUGAGUUAUUUUCCCCAAGGACUCAAUUACACACUCAUUUGUGACUCAGGUAAAUGGCUUUCUGUGUGUGUGACUUUUUCAACUGCAAAAUUGUACUUACUGAAUAAUUUGUAAGGAAGCUGUUGUACAAGCACAUCUAUUGACAUUCAUCUGUGGGAGAAUUUUAAAAAUGCAGACAAGAUAACUACUCGCUUUUGUUCCUUUAUUCACUUCAUUUGAUUAACUCAUAACAUUCAAUUCACCCUUGAGUUAUUCAAACGUGUGCUCAUUUGUCUUUGGAGUAAUGUUUUUGUUCACAACAGCCUUGUUGUCUUUCUGACACAUGUCAUUUCUUCUUCCAGCAUGUACAUGAACUCUAUCCAGUCAAAAGUGCAAGCACAAGUCCUUUUUUCACAACGGGAGGAGAACAGAGCGCUCUAUCUUGAAACUCAAAAAAAAGGAAGCCCGGUGAGUCAGGGUUCAGUAUCAGGGAUUAUACCAGC